rnacentral:rRNA from 1 species
CGCGGCCUAUCAGCUUGUUGGUGGGGUAAUGGCCUACCAAGGCGACGACGGGUAGCCGGCCUGAGAGGGCGACCGGCCACACUGGGACUGAGACACGGCCCAGACUCCUACGGGAGGCAGCAGUGGGGAAUAUUGCGCAAUGGGCGAAAGCCUGACGCAGCGACGCCGUGUGAGGGACGAAGGUCUUCGGAUUGUAAACCUCUUUCAGCAGGGACGAAGCGGAAGUGACUGUACCUGCAAAAGAAGCACCGGCUAACUACGUGCCAGCAGCCGCGGUAAUACGUAGGGUGCAAGCGUUGUCCGGAUUUAUUGGGCGUAAAGAGCUCGUAGGCGGUUUGUCGCGUCGGAUGUGAAAACCCAAUGGCUUAACCUUGGGCCUGCAUUCGAUACGGGCAAACUAGAGUGUGGUAGGGGAAACUGGAACUCCUGGUGUAGCGGUGGAAUGCGCAGAUAUCAGGAAGAACACCGAUGGCGAAGGCAGGUUUCUGGGCCAUAACUGACGCUGAGGAGCGAAAGCGUAGGGAGCGAACAGGAUUAGAUACCCUGGUAGUCCACGCCGUAAACGGUGGGCGCUAGGUGUGGGGAUUGUUUCCACGAUCUCCGUGCCGUAGCUAACGCAUUAAGCGCCCCGCCUGGGGAGUACGG